rnacentral:rRNA from 1 species
GACGAACGCUGGCGGCGUGCUUAACACAUGCAAGUCGAACGGAAAGGCCCUGCUUGCAGGGUACUCGAGUGGCGAACGGGUGAGUAACACGUGGGUGAUCUGCCCUGCACUUCGGGAUAAGCCUGGGAAACUGGGUCUAAUACCGGAUAGGAGCCAUUUUUAGUGUGAUGGUUGGAAAGUUUUUUCGGUGUAGGAUGAGCUCGCGGCCUAUCAGCUUGUUGGUGGGGUAAUGGCCUACCAAGGCGGCGACGGGUAGCCGGCCUGAGAGGGUGGACGGCCACCCUGGGACUGAGAGACGGCACAGACGGCGAAUGGUGGAAGCAGUGGGGAAGAUUGCACAAGGGGCGCCAGCCUGAUGCAGCGGGGCCGCGUGGGGUAUGACGGCCUUCGGGUUGUAAACACCCUUCGCGAUGGACGAAGCUUUUUGUGACGGUACCUAGAGAAGAAGCACCGGCUAACUACGUG